rnacentral:rRNA from 1 species
UGAGGAAUAUUGCGCAAUGGGGGAAACCCUGACGCAGCGACGCCGCGUGGGUGAAGAAGGCCUUCGGGUUGUAAAGCCCUGUCAGGUGGGAAGAAGCCUCUGGAGGUGAAUAGCCUUCGGAAUUGACGGUACCACCAAAGGAAGCACCGGCUAACUCCGUGCCAGCAGCCGCGGUAAGACGGAGGGUGCAAGCGUUGCUCGGAAUCACUGGGCGUAAAGCGCGUGUAGGCGGUUCGGUAAGUCGAGUGUGAAAGCCCGGGGCUCAACCUCGGAAGUGCACUCGAAACUGUCGAACUUGAGUACGGGAGAGGGAAGUGGAAUUCCUGGUGUAGAGGUGAAAUUCGUAGAUAUCAGGAGGAACACCGGUGGCGAAGGCGGCUUCCUGGACCGAUACUGACGCUGAGACGCGAAAGCGUGGGGAGCAAACAGG